rnacentral:pre_miRNA from 1 species
UCCAGGGAGGAGGGGUUUCUUUCGGCCUCCAGCAGCAUUCGACGGCUGUAGGCCGGCGGAAACUACUUGCUUCCGUCG